UUUUUUUUUUUUUUUUUUUUUUUUUUUUUGAGACGGAGUCUCGCUCUGUCGCCCAGGCUGGAGUGCAGUGGCCUGAUCUCAGCUCACUGCAAGCUCCGCCCGCCUCCCGGGUUCACGCCAUUCUCCUGCCUCAGCCUCCCGAGUAGCUGGGACCACAGGCGCCCGCCAGCUCGCCCGGCUAGUUUUUUGUAUUUUUUAGUAGAGACGGGGUUUCACUGUGUUAGCCAGGAUGGUCUCGAUCUCCUGACCUUGUGAUCCACCCGUCUCGGCCUCCCAAAGUGCUGGGAUUACAGGCUUGAGCCAGGUGAUAUGGUUCUUACCUUGACCACUGUGAAUCAAAUUAAUGUCUUAUGCUAUGGUCAUAUAAUCCUUUGGGGGCUAGGAUUCUGGUAUUAAUGAGCAAUUGUUAGAUCUGCAGGAUAGUCAGAAAGCAGUCUUCUUUGAGAAAUGAUGCGUGGUAAAACAAGAACAUUGAGCCUGUGACUCCAGCAGUAGUACCUCCUAUCCACUCUUCCCUGGCAGGGAGUAUGAAAAGAACAAAGCAGUCUGUAGUCCUGUGUGUACUCACUACCAACAGUCCUCUGUUUCCCUUUUAUCUUGGGUACAAUGACAAAGCAGGCUCUCUGUUCCUGACCCAGAUGGACUUCAGAACUGUAGCUCACAAAUUUGCCCUGUGAUGAGCAGAGGACCCCAUUCAGGGCUGAGGAAAUCAGGGGAAGCCACAAAGCUUAGAGUCUUAUAUCUCCUGAGCUGAGUCCAAAAGAGUUUCAGUAAGUAGCUUUCUGUUCUGAGAACUGUGGGGUAGAGAGAGAGAGGAAAAAAAAAAGUAAAAAACUUUCAUUUCUUCUGGCAAGACUUUGAUGAGGAGACUGGGGAUUUGAAGAGAAUGUAACUUGUAUAGAGUUGGGGCUUUGAUUAUAUAUUAGGUUGUGGUAUUUGGAAUUGGGGGUUAAAAAUGUGUUCUGACAUGCAGUACAAAGAAGGCCUAUGUUUUCUAGUGUUUGCAAGUGAAAUUAAUUUCAGAAUAGCUGAGGGUUUACUAGUUCCCCUCGGAAGAGUUUAACAUCCCUUUACCUAGAAGCUUUGCUGUGGCUGUAGGAAUGGUUACUGUGUUUGGAAAAAUUGACAGGAAAUCUUUGUUUAUAUUUGCCCAUUGGGACUUUGAUUUGUGAGUACGUGAGGGGCAAACGUGUUGUGCUACAGUGAUUAGCGAAGAAGCUAGAGACGUGCAAAAUGAGUCAGCACAGGGUGCAAGAAAACUGCCCUCAAUCCAGAAUCACCGUGCUAUGACCAUGACCCCCGACGUGUCAUUGCUCUGUGGAUUUUUCUCCUUUCCUGGAGACCAGGAAGCCCCUCAAUAUUUGUCAAAAGUGGAACAUGUGUUUUAUCACAUAUCCUGAAUCUCAUCUGUUUGUAGAUUCUCCUGGAAGCAGUAUGCUGAGAGAACAGGAGGUUAAAUUUGGUCACAAUAGGAGUGUUGGGAAGAUCUGUCGAUAUUUGCCAAAGGCAUGAGGUCACCAAUAUUCAGGGAAUUUGAAAAAGGGGUGUAUUUUGAAUGUUGUAUUUCCAGUAACAUACUGAUUUUAGAGUAGGUCAUGUAUCAGCAAAGUGAGGGGCAAGCCCCCAGUC
ensembl:lncRNA